rnacentral:ncRNA from 1 species
AUGGUUCGCCUGCGGGCGAUGAAAAGGGAACGGGGUGCAAGUCCCCGACAGUCCCGCUGCUGUGAUUUGCCUUUGUGGGAACGCGCAAGGAUGCCACUGUCUUUUUUUAGUUGACGAGUAAACAAGUUGACAAGUAGACGAGUUGUUACUUCGUUGGCAAGAUGGGAAGGCGCGCGUUUCAGGCAAUAAGUCAGAAGACCUGCCAUUGCGGA